rnacentral:rRNA from 1 species
UACAUGGGGUGCAAACGUUGCUCGGAAUUACUGGGCGUAAAGGGCUCGUAGGCGGCCAACUAAGUCAGACGUGAAAUCCCUCGGCUUAACCGGGGAACUGCGUCUGAUACUGGAUGGCUUGAGGUUGGGAGAGGGAUGCGGAAUUCCAGGUGUAGCGGUGAAAUGCGUAGAUAUCUGGAGGAACACCGGUGGCGAAGGCGGCAUCCUGGACCAAUUCUGACGCUGAGGAGCGAAAGCCAGGGGAGCAAACGGG